rnacentral:rRNA from 1 species
UGCGCGAGUCAUUGGGAUCUUUACUAAACCUAAAGGCGCAAUGAAAGUGAAGGUCCGCCUUGCGCGGACCGAGGGAGGAUGGACCGUUCCGAGGGACGGCCCCGCACUCCCGGGGCGUCUCGCUCUCAUCGCGAGAAGAGGCGCACCCAGAGCGUACACGCUGGGACCCGAAAGAUGGUGAACUAUGCCUGGUCAGGACGAAGUCAGGGGAAACCCUGAUGGAGGUCCGUAGCGAUUCUGACGUGCAAAUCGAUCGUCGGAACUGGGUAUAGGGGCGAAAGACUAAUCGAACCAUCUAGUAGCUGGUUCCCUCCGAAGUUUCCCUCAGGAUAGCUGGCGCUCGCUUCUCGCGAGUCUCAUUCGGUAAAGCGAAUGAUUAGAGGCAUUGGGGUCGAAACGGCCUCAACCUAUUCUCAAACUUUAAAUGGGUGAGAUCUCCGGCUUGCUUGAACUGUGAAGCCGCGAGAUAUCGGAUCAGAGUGCCAAGUGGGCCACUUUUGGUAAGCAGAACUGGCGCUGUGGGAUGAACCAAACGCUGAGUUAAAGCGCCUAAAUCGACGCUUAUGGGAUACCAUGAAAGGCGUUGGUAACUUAAGACAGCAGGACGGUGGCCAUGGAAGUCGGA